rnacentral:lncRNA from 1 species
CCUUGUUCUUAAAGGAGCGCUCAACGGGAUCGCCUCCGAUCAUCUUUUCCGACGUCCUCUCCUCCUUCCCCCACUAGAUCUUCGCCCGAUGCCUCCCCGCAAAGCAUCCACAUGACGAUCCACGGCCUCUGCGGUCAGAUCUCAGGCUCCGACCUCACCUCCAGUUUCCCAACCUCCCCCUCCUCCUUCGAUAAUGGCGGUUG